rnacentral:lncRNA from 1 species
GAGGCAAGAAAGGAUUCUACCCAGAGUCUCAGAGGGAACAUGGCCCUUUUGAAAACUUGAUUUCAGACGUCUAGCGUCCAGAACUGUGAGAGAAGAAAUUUCUGUUUUUGUAAGCCUCCCCGAUUGUGGUACUUUGCUACGGCAGCCGAAGGAAAUUCAUACAGUACCUACUUGAACAACUUCUUCCAGCAUUUCUCGUACGGUUGUAUUCCUCUCCCGGCUGGCACGGACGAUUGUGGUGCACGCUUCCUGCCAUCCUGCUCUGUGGUCCGCUGCUUGCGCUCACUUCCGUCCCUCACCUGACUCACGUCAGACAGACCGUCAAGAUGCAGCAGGGCUGCCGGGAGAACUUCCGGCUGUGCCCAAAUGUAAAGAAAUCAUGUGACAUAGAAGAAAGACUCAAGCC